GUGAUACCUGAAAAAGAAGAACAAGCACGUUUUCAUAGUCAGUACGUCUCUUGAAGGGCUCUCAGAAAUUGCCAUUUGGACAUGUAAGCCUGGCUCCCAUUAACUUCAACCUCAAAGCAUAAAGAAGCAGAAAUUUUGUCUACAAACAUUGUUACAGGGACUUCUGUAAAGAGCAGAAGCUCAUCUCUCUUGUGUUGUAACGAUUAGUGCUUGGACUGGAUUCAUUGUUCUUUCACGAUGAAGUAAUAUGGUUUGUUUUUUACCAGAGAGCACUGAACUUUGCUAUCCCUCAAGAUAGCAGUUGAGAAAGAGACACAUCUGAGACUUGUGCUGUAAAGAUACGAACCUUUAAAUGGCAGAUACUGAAAAGGGAUAUUCUGAAAACCACAGAGUAACUUGACAAAUGCAAUGGUGUCAACAGCUCAAUUUGGCAACAGUGAAAAUACCUGGAUCGGGGACUGCAAGACGUAGCUGGCUGCUAACAGCGUGCACAAAGCCAUCAGGAGCUUGCACACUGUGUUCCCCAGCAUGUGCCAUGGGCUACCAGCCAAGGACCCCUGAGAGGAGCAUCACCCAACAUGACAUGAGCCUGAUUUUACUCUUUAUUCUUCUGUGACUCUGGCGACUGGGGACAACUGGGCACCAGUGGCUGAAUUUGCUGCAAGUUACCCAAACUUACAUAGAGCUCCUGAAACUUGGCACAUGUUAGUGUGAAAAACAGUUGAUUUGGUAAUAACUAACCAUAGGAGGCAUCCAGCUGUCUACCAGAAAUGAAGACUGAGACGGGAAAAAUGUCCCUGGUACAUGCAGCUGGGCAAAAGCAGUUCACAGUGAAGAACAGGCACGGGGGGUUUAGAACUUUGUUUUGGUUUGAAAAAUUGUUUCCAUUUUGUUAAUGGAUUUGUUUCUUUUCUGCAGUUCUUCCAUUACUUCUUAGUAUAAAUAUGUUUUGCUUGAUAAAUUUCUCAAACUACUCUGUGUAUCAUGUGCUUUGAAUAAUGAUUAAUCACAGCACAUCCCCUAAAAUGCAAGGUAUGGCUUGUUCCAUGUGUCUGAACAAUCAUGUUUUAAAGCAGGAGGAAAUUGCUGUGAGGGUCAGGAGCUUUUGGGAGCACAGAUGUGUGCCCAGAUAAGUCAAUCUAUAAAACCUUAGGAUGUUUGAAACAUGCUCCUCUUUCCCACCCCUCCCCUAACCCAAAGAGCAGCCUGAUUUUUAAGCUACACAUUUGUGUAGCUUUUCAGCAUUAAAGAUACCCAGUUUCUUCCUGCCUGAUGGAGGGAGCAAAUCCAAAAUCCUUGGAACCAGGCUGUGCUGGUUUCUCUUAAAUCCACCGAGCCCUGUAUCUGGGGUUUCUAGAUCUUAUAACCAGUUUUCAGAGCAGGGGAGGAUAGAUCACCCUUCCCUGCCCUGAGCUGUGAUCACCUGGCAGCUUUUUCCACAGCUGGCUUUAACUGAGCUUAGAUUGCCUGCCUCACACCCACAUUCCCCUGCUGUGUGGUUCCACCCUGCCCGCUCUCCCUGUAGCCAAUGGUUUGGAGAAGAAAUGAAUUUCCUACUUAACAUUCGCAUGAAUUAGGAGUUUUCUCAUUUCUCUUACGUGAGCUGGUGUUUUGAGCCGACAUCAUCAGGCCAGACAACGAUGCAUUUUAUCGUUCCAUUGUCCAUCAUGAUCUCAGCGUAGAAGCACUGUGGGAAGGCAAGCCCAAAUGCCACCAGCCAGAUUAUCCCUAUGAUGACUCUGGUGCUUCCUGCAGAGAGCCUGGGCUUGAAGGGAUGAAUUAUUGCCACGUACCUGCAAGAAAAACAGGGCCUAAAUAUCUUCUGAAGAGAGCAGCUGCAAGUCUUGGGGAAUGGUUUAAGGUAUGAGGAGGAAGCAGCCAUCUAUGCCUUCUGGAUAUGGUCUUCGUCACUGGGAGGGAGCUCUGCCUGGCUGCUGGUGCAGGAUAGAGGGCGGCUGCAUGGACAGGCGGCACACCACGGCUGUCAUGGAAUAAAUGCUCACAAACAUUGCGGUGAUGGGAAACCAGUUCUGAAACCUGCAGAAUUCCUCACCAAAAUACCAGACGUUGUGACUGGCAUAAAUAAAGUUGAAGAUGGUAUUGAAAGUGGACAUCAG